rnacentral:tRNA from 1 species
CCUCGUGUUGGCCGGCCGGGCCGGGGCCUUCGACGCCCUGUCACUGGCCGUCGAGUACGCGGCCCGGCGCGAGACC